GUCCACGCUGUAAACGAUGAAUACUAGGUGUUGGGUUUUAAACUCAGUGCCGCAGCUAACGCAUUAAGUAUUCCACCUGGGAAGUACGAUCGCAAGGUUGAAACUCAAAGGAAUUGACGGGGGCCCGCACAAGCAGUGGAGCAUGUGGUUUAAUUCGAUGCAACGCGAAGAACCUUACCUAGGCUUGAAAGGCAAGUGACAGGGUAUGAAAGUACCCCUCCAGCAAUGGCACUUGUACAGGUGCUGCAUGGCUGUCGU
rnacentral:rRNA from 1 species